AUCGCUCGUUGGCCUUUUGGCUACGAGCAAGUGUAAUACCUGUUCUUAUCAGUUCGACAUCUGAUGAGAGGACAAGGUAUUACAUGGAUUUGGGGAGCAGGGAGUUGGAAUAGAAGCUUGCUCCAUCCCCUCCACGCAUCGACUUGGAACUGCAGUACCUCAAGGACCAGUGCACCCCCU
rnacentral:snRNA from 1 species